GUGUGGAUGACGUAUGAAUGGAUGAAUGGCUAGUGUGUACUGGGAUUUAUUUUAUGAUUUAUUAGUUUUUAAAAGACGACUAAUAUAACGGGGUUACAAGUUUAUGACUCAGGAAUUUCGGGUUCAAAUUUCGCGGAAAAUGGUCUCGCGGUUAAGUUUCAAAUGGCGACUAGUAAGAACUGAACUGAGGAUCCACUGCUACGAAAUAAAUUUAGCGCCAGUGUCUGCUUCCUUGAGAAUGAAAAAAUUGUCGCAGAAAUUUGCGGCACCGGGAAUCGUAAUACCAGGGAAAGACGGCCCACCUGGGGCAAGAAGGCCCACCUCAAAAAUUAACCACAAAUUUUUUUUCUUGUUUUCUUUUGAUUAUCACAAAUUUAGAUUAUUUACUCAUUUUUAGCCCGAUACGUGAAACUUGGGGCAAAAUGAACCACUCAAAAAUUCUAAAAGAAAAUGUAUUUCAUAGUAUUAUAACCUAGUCAUGAUUAAUUUAAUAGAAAUAUCAUUUUUUGGUUAAUUAUAUGGAUUUGGAUUAAAAUAGAUUUCAAUUCUGUACAAAGUGCUUCUCCAAGUAUCUUGCCGAAUUCCAUUGUACUAUAGGGGUGUUAAAUAAAAUUUUCCGGUGUUAAAAUAUUUCACUUUGCACGGCGAGAAAAAUCUCGUCAAAACAACUGAACAUUUUGUUACUACAGCUAUACUAUCUAUAGUCAACUUUUUUUACGAUAAUCUGUAUAGUCAUUUUGGCGAUCUAAGUAUCUUCGCAGCGUAACGUCAAAAUGGCAAUACUAUUGUCAUUAUCCAUGCAGGAGCUGUCAGAGUUGAACGACGGAGCCCUACUUGGCCCAGCACUGGGAAACCCAGCUUGGGCUUACUUAUAUUGGCCCAUGCUUGGGCCAUAACUGGGUACUCGAGCUUGGUCAUUCUUAUGAUUAGCCAACUUUAGGCCAGACCUGUCUAAUCCAAGUUCGACCAUGAGUUAUAUAUGUUAUGUGCGUCAAUUCAUUAUGUUUAUCAAGAAAUAUGUACUCUAAUCCCAGAGUCUCCAAUAAUCAACCAUUGUUAUUUUUAACUGUAUCCAAAUGUAUAAAGUACAAUAAUAAUGAGAUACGGCUAGACGCAAUAUAAAACAGUGCUCUAUUUUACUUGGAGUAAUUAUUUAUAUUUAAAUGCAUUGAAAAUAUUUUGUAUUAAAACUAUAUAUCUUGUGUCCUUUAAUCAGCUACAUGCUACUACCUGAUUAAAUUAGCAGUAUAAAUAAUAGUCAAUAGAAGCGGUAAAUUUCCUCCAGGUAAUUUUGAUAAAAUUUGUUUUAUCGAAACCUAGUGAUGUGAGUAAUCAAAAUAAUGGAAAUUUAUCUCUUUACUUUACUGUCAUACUUUUGAGUCCUUAAAAAAUUAUCCCAAUCUUUUAGAACAAAAAAAAUUGUUUAUAAAUAUUAAGUUCAUAUUGUUUAUGUAAUGCGAUACCAGCAUUCGAUAAGCUAUAACUGUUUUCACCUGAGUUGUCAAAAUUCAAUCAGCGACUUUAAACAGCUGGGAGGAAGAUGUGAAAUUAAUGGCAAAUUUGAACAAGAAUUUAAAAAUAUAUUUCAUGAAAAAAUAUGUUAUAUAAAAAAUAU